AAGUCCGACUGUGAAAAUGCAGAAAAAAGCAGAUAAAGACAAUUAUAGAUUCCACCUUUUUCACAGAUUGCAGCUUCUGAUGUCUUAAAAUAAUUGUACAAGUAGCUAAAUACUCAGACUGAUGAGCCACUGCUACUGUUGUAAAAUGCAUGUAAUGACAGUCACAGGAAACAUCAGAUAUAUUAGGAUGAUGCAGGCAUUUUCCCUUCUAAAGAAGAAGCUUUCUAAAUUUCUAAAGUGUGGGUUUUCCCCUCUGUGCUGCCACAAGGGCAUUGCGUUGCACAGUGAUGAAGUUAAAUGCUUGAGGCCUUCAAUUACUGUGGAACAAUACUGCAAAAAACAAGUAUGACAACCUAGAGAGAUGUGGAAUAGUUGUCCAAUCAUGCAUCUGGUAUUUAGAUCAAGCUCUAGAUAACAGAAGAGUGAAGGUAUAACUGGCUGAGGAGAUUCAUCAUGAGGUUAAUAUUUAUAACAGAGACAUAACCAGAACACGUAAUACAUGCUCUGACUUGCUUUUUUUCCAUGUUAUUUAUUCCUCUUGCCUCUCACUCUGUUUUAUUUGCAUCUGAAUGAAAAAAGGCUGUUGGCUAAACUGAGGAUAGUAAUACAACACCAGGCAGUCUUCCAAAUCCCAUCACUGGUACCGAUGCUUUCAGGAUAAAUGAGUUAUCAUACAGUCACUGCAGGGCAAAUUACAAUAAUGGGUACCAUUUCAAAUUCUGAUUAAAAUGAAACUGGUUGUUCAUGACAUCAGGGGAUUAUUCUGGUCUAUUCAUGUAGCAAAGCUUUAAAGUCACUUCCGGAUUUAACUGUCUGUCUUGCACCUAAAGAGGAGACAUCAAGGAAAAGAGAAGCAUGACAAGAGCAGUUUUAUUUACUCUUUCUUUCCUCUCUGAAGUCAUCAGGUUGAUAAUUUGCCACAAUUUCCAUAUUUUAUUGAUCUCUAAUAUUUACUUUCUGAUGACGUUAAGCUGCUGAGUGUACAUUCUCUGUAUUGGUGCCGUCAGAUCCUCUUUAUAUUGCAGUUGUGUCACUUGCUGUAAGUGUUGUGCAAUAUAUGUUCAUAAUACAAACCACUGUUUGACCAAAAGCUGAAGUAAUUUAACUGAAAUGUGACAACGUCGGUUUAUGCAACCAGGUGGAGACAACACAAUGAAAUGAUAAUAUGUAAAAUCCUAUCUCCCCCAAAAAAAUCACCAAAAAGUUGAAAGGUGCUUUGAAUAAUACUAUGUCACUUAAAACAGACAAGUAAUGUAACUCCUUAGUGCAGAAUAUAGAAGAAAAUUUUCAUGCAACUUCCUUUCAGCAGCAUUUUUUUUGUGCCUUGAAUCGGUCAGUUCGUCCAACGUAUCAGAUUUUGUCAGUGACAUUAUGCUUCAAACAACCUUUACCAAAACUGAGACGAGUAAACAAACGACUGAUAAUACUCCCAGAAAGCAACCUAGAUGCAAACAUCAUUGAACAAAUAUGUAAACAAGCAGGAAAAAAACAGUCAUAGGCAAAUGGGACAUGCAUAUGAUGAGGUGCAAUGAGGAAAAGGCCUCACUGAGAUGAAUAAGCACAUUUACUCCCCUACUAUACUCCUGCCGCAACAUUUUAGUUUUUUAUUUUUACCUUAAUUGAGUAUUACUUUUCAUAUUUCGGGAUACUUCAUACUCCUGCAUACAAUUUUACUCCCAACAUUUAUUUGAAAGGCAUAAUUAUAUACUUUGCACAUUAAUAUAAAUGUAAACGUACAGAUAAAUCCACUUUCACUAAAUACAACAGUAAAAUGUUGCUUAUGCACUCAUCUCAGUAAUAAAGACCCAAUAGUGGGACAUAGAAUAAGAUAAGAUUGUUAACCCUCCUGUUGUCCUCAUUUACAGGCACCAAAAAAUAUUGUUUCCUUGUCUGAAAAAAAAUCCAGAAAUUCAGCAAAAAAAAAUUCCCCAAAUUUCUGAAAAUUUGCAAAACCUCCAGGAAGAAAAUUCCCAUAAUUUCUUAAAAGUUUCCCUUAAAAGAUUUAUUUUUGAAAAAAUUCCAAAUUUGGCAAGAAAAUUCCUGUAAAUAUUUUCAAAAAAAUCCUAAAAAUAUCUGAAGUGAUUACAUAUAUAUCAGUAAAACUUCUAAUAUUUUCUUUAAGAACAUUUGUGAAUGUUCUUAAGAAACAUUUUUAACAUUUCUUUUUUUCUCACCAAAAAAAUGUUCAAAGAUGUCCCUAAAAUCCUGAAAAUGUGGACAGCAGAAGUUUCACUGAGAAUUUUUUCCCCCCACAUUUUCAAACUUUAAGACAACAGGAGGGUUAAAAUACCUUUCAUUUGUGAUUCCACUAAAGAAAUCAGCAUUUUAACUUGUAUUGGAGUGUUUUUGCACAGUGAUAUUUCUGCUGUUGAGUAAGAAGAGGUUUUAAUUACCCGUACACUAAGACCCAUUUUAGCCUUUGAGCAACUGAAACAGGAAAUCAGGAAGUUGAUGCCAGCUUCAAAACAUGUCUGGCGUAUCUACAACACAGACAACCACAAAACUGACUAAGCAACAGAUUAAUCACAGGACUUCACAGACUUUCGAGACUUGUCCUUAUCUAACAGGGCAAAAGUCCAUCUGCUUAGUUUAUUUCCAAGUUUACUUCUUUAAAGAUGUGAUUUUUUUUUUAUUUUAAAAAAAAGCUCUUUUCCAGCAGUCUAUCUGACAAUACUGCAGUAUUGUCAGAUAGACUGGGCAGAGCUGCUGCGUGCCUCUGUGCUGUGAUUACAUUCCAAAGAGUGAGCUAAAAAUACAGCUUUGCUUGGAAAAAAAAACGCACAGGGUGUGACUGUGGCUCCUUUUUCCAUUUUCCUGCCAGGUUCCCUAAAAUCCUCCAACCUUCCUAAGAGUAUUUACAUGCAGAUCAUUUGAAUGGAUUUGCUUUAAGUUUGCUCAACAUAUUUUAUUUCUUUCCCUCACUGCCUUUAAAUCAUGUUUCAUACCAAAGAAACCUACAGAGCUGUGAUACACAAACGGAUUAGAAAGUCCGUUAGGGUGAGGAUUUACAUACCGAGGAUAAGGCAGGUAGCGUCCAGCAGGAUGAGUGGGAUCCCGGAGACUUCAAACAUGUUGCGGCUCCUUUUUCUUCUCCGUCUGGCGUCUGUUUUUGUUAAAAAUCCCCCGUUCUGAUUGUUCCAGCUGCUCUGACUUUUAGAGGAGACGAGACGCAGCCGUUCUGCCGCACAUAUCUCUCUAUUCCAGUAAAAAAUCAAAACACAGUGUCAUUUUCCCGGGACUGUCCCAGCACCUAAACCUACCAAAAAGGUAAAAAUAACAAACCUAUUCUAGGUGAAAAACACUCCACUAAAGGCAAAAUCUAAUCUAAAAACACCACCACACACGUAGAGAGCGUCUCACCCGGUCGACUGCUCACAAACCAUCAUAACUCAGCGGGAUUUCUUCAGCUCAUAAUACCGUCCUGUCCUCACAUGAGACAUUAGCGGUGACACCAGCUCCUCUCCCGUUGUUAUUAAUGCUGCCUUCACGGACAGCCCGGAAAAAGGAGUCCCGCGACCUUACGUGACGCUCAGAGGGUCAAUAUGAAACUGGAUCCUUUAACAUUGUCACUUCAAAAGUCUAUUAUUAAUAACACUGUAGGGUAAAAACCUUAAUAUUUCAUUUAGUCAGAUAAGUGUGUAUCAUAUGAUAUUGUAGCCCUUUAACGUUACUAUUUAAUUUUGCAUUGUACCUUUGUAUUUUAGAUGUUACAGCAACGAAUACAAGAAAUAGUGCCAGAAAAGAAAAAGAGCAGCACACAAUGCACACAGUGCACAGAUACAAUCAUUUUUUUCCUUCUAGAAGAAAUAUAAAUGUUUACAGAAAAAAUUCUCAUAUGCAUUUUUAUUGCAUUUAAAUAAUAUUGUAGGAUUUUAAUCAUUAUAUAUAAUUUUAAUCAGGUAAAUUUGCAGUAUUCUAGAGUCUAAGCUUUUUUUUUUUUUAAAUUCAGUCAGGUACAGUUGUGUUUUAUACAAUAACAGGUUUUCCCCUUAAUAUUUAAAUUAGUAAUUAAUAUUUUUAUUUCAAACCACACUGUCAACCCUUUUUUUUCCGCAGUGAUGCACAAGUAAUAAUAAUUAAAGUAUUUUAUUUACUCUCAAGAAGUAAUGUAUGUAUGCAUUCAUGGUUUGAACAAAACAAGCAGACAAAAACACAAAACAAUUUAAAAAGAUCAAAACCCAAUGAAAAUUGUCUCAUAAUUGAGAUCUCAAAUUGCCUGACUUUUCAGCGUUCUGGAGUCAGUUUAAGAGUUUUGUAGGCUGUAAGACUUCUGUCCAAGGCUUUCAUUCGACUACAUUAUGAAUAACACAAUAAGAUUUUUUUUUGGUUGAUUUGUUUGUUCAUUUUUACCAACUUGCACCAAAGCAAAAAUAUUUUUGCAAAAUAAUCCUGGGUCUCUUAUUUGUUGUUGCAAUCAUGUGUUUAACAUUCUUGCAAGCAGAUAUUAUUUUACUGCUUGUAAAAGUAAAACCAUUGUUCUUCCAUGUAACGUGUUUUGUUACAGAAUAUUAUAAAUAUAUUAGAUAGUAGAUAUUAAAAAUACAUUUUCUUGUUUCACAGCCUCACAGUGGGAUAUCUGCUAACUCUUCACUUAUCAUUAAAAUAACUUAAAGAAUAUGGCAACAGGUAGCCUAGUGACAAGCAAAGCACAUUUUAUUCAUUUAUUGUAAGUUGCUGUAUUUAGAUACGCUAUCUUUAAGAAAUUGAUUGAAUUUUCAGUGUUUUGUUGUCAGCAGAUUUGGUGUGAUCAUUAUUAGUCAUUUAUUCUGGGUGUUAUAAUAUGAAUAUCUGUGAAAUUCUCUUUGUCUUGGCUACAUGUUGAAUUUCCGAGGGGCAUCUGAAGGCAUCACUGGACAGGGAAGCGGUAGUGGGAGUUUUGGGCCUAUCGUGAGGCUGCAAUCACGCUACGACAGCCGUCUGCCGAUGCAGAGCUGCUCCUCCCUCCUCUGAGUGCGACCACGGAGACCAAAGAACUACAGAUUCUUCACAACCUGCUCAAACUCUUGGUACAGGAUCUCACCACACGGGUCAAGAAGGUUUCUGUCUCAUUUCUACUCUGAAGCUCACCUUCUCCUGCUCAAACUGCUGACAAAUGUUUCUGCUACUCUAAAGUCUGCUCUCCAGAACUUCCUAAAAACUCUCAAAGUCUCUUCUGCUGCAGGUUGCUUUGUAGAACUGUUGCAGAAAACCUCACUAAACCACAUGGAGGGGCCUCAAGAUAGUCGUCCAAAUGAAACCAUACAAAAACCAAACUAGCACAACCCAAACACUAAAGUCUCCUGCAGCCUACCAGAGAACCUCUGAGAACAGAGAAUCAGGACAGGAACUCUUACCUUCUGGACAACCAACCUUGGUUCACAAACAAGAAUACAGAAUGUGUCUGACCAAAAACCUCUAAAGACUCACUACAGCCAAGAUAAAGACACAACUCAGCUGCACCAAACCCACUAAUCACUGCACACAUUAGGACCAUGUGCUCACUGUGGCUAAAGAACCACAUUUACCAAGACAACUAUCCAGUACAAAGCCCUAAAACACACCAAGAAACACAUUAAAGCCGAUUUUACUGCUGGAAGCUGCAAGCCAACGCCUAAAUAACAAACUAAAGCAAUGGAGCCAAACACACUUCAGUGGUGAAGAGAAACAGAGGAAAUGUUUAGCUGCAGCCACAUAAAGCAGGAAGACACUGAGCUGCUCAGGUGUUCCUGAUAACACCAAGCAGCCACCUGGACAGCCAAUAGGAACACAGCUUACUGGAAGUCCAGAGGGCGGGGUUAGUGAAGGAAAUUUAGUUUAAAGUUGAAGCAGAAAGUUAAUAAAGAAAGUUGAAAACCA